GGGUCAGUAGGUUGGUCGUGCCACUGGUACGUACUGGUCUCACUGAUUCCUCCUUCCUGAAGAACCGUAAUGCCAUUAAUUUGGUGUUGCGGGGAAACAGGACUGUUACUUUGAAAAAAUUAGAGUGUUUAAAGCAAGCUAACGCUUGAAUACAUUAGCAUGGAAUAAUGAAAUAGGACGAUCGAUCCUAUUUUGUUGGUUUCUAGGAUUGACGUA
rnacentral:rRNA from 1 species